CCUACGGGAGGCAGCAGUGAGGAAUAUUGGUCAAUGGACGAGAGUCUGAACCAGCCAAGUAGCGUGAAGGAUGAUUGCCCUAUGGGUUGUAAACUUCUUUUAUAUGGGAAUAAAAUGUUCCACGUGUGGGAUUUUGUAUGUACCAUAUGAAUAAGGAUCGGCUAACUCCGUGCCAGCAGCCGCGGUAAUACGGAGGAUCCGAGCUUUAUCCGGAUUUAUUGGGUUUAAGGGGAGCGUAGGUGGAGUGUUAAGUCAGUUGUGAAAGUUUGCGGCUCAACCGUAAAAUUGCAGUUGAAACUGGCAGGCUUGAGUACAGUAGAGGUGGGAGGAAUUCGUGGUGUAGCGGUGAAAUGCUUAGAUAUCACGAAGAACACCGAUUGCGAAGGCAGCUCACUGGACUGCAACUGACACUGAGGCUCGAAAGUGUGGGUAUCAAACAGGAUUAGAUACCCUAGUAGUC
rnacentral:rRNA from 1 species